UUUCAUGCCAGGAAUGGUUGAUACGCACAUUCAUGCACCUCAGUAUUCAUUUGCUGAUAUGAGAGUAGAUCUACCUCUCUUGCAGUGGUUGACUACCUACACAUUCCCAACAGAAGCCAAAUAUAAAGAUAGUGAUUUUGCAGAAGAAGUGUACACCAGAGUUGUUAGACGAACUCUGAAGAAUGGCACCACUACAGCUUGCUACUUUGCAACAAUUUACACAGAUACUUCUCUUCUCCUAGCUGAGAUUAUAGAUAAAUUUGGUCAACGAGCUUUGUUGGCAAAGUCUGUAUGGAUAUGAAUGACAGCGUUCCACAAUACAAAGAGACUAC